UGUUUCGGCUAGGGGGCCAUCCCGGCUUACCAACCCGAUGCAAACUGCGAAUACCGGAGAAUGUUAUCACGGGAGACACACGGCGGGUGCUAACGUCCGUCGUGAAGAGGGAAACAACCCAGACCGCCAGCUAAGGUCCCAAAGUCAUGGUUAAGUGGGAAACGAUGUGGGAAGGCCCAGACAGCCAGGAUGUUGGCUUAGAAGCAGCCAUCAUUUAAAGAAAGCGUAAUAGCUCACUGGUCGAGUCGGCCUGCGCGGAAGAUGUAACGGGGCUAAACCAUGCACCGAAGCUGCGGCAGCGACACUGUGUGUUGUUGGGUAGGGGAGCGUUCUGUAAGCCUGUGAAGGUGGCCUGUGAGGGUUGCUGGAGGUAUCAGAAGUGCGAAUGCUGACAUAAGUAACGAUAAAGC
rnacentral:rRNA from 1 species